AAACUUGGGCUAAUACCGCAUGAGCCCUGAGGGGGAAAGCGGGGGAUCUUCGGACCUCGCGCUAAGGGAAGAGCCUACGUCUGAUUAGCUAGUUGGUAGGGUAAAGGCCUACCAAGGCGACGAUCAGUAGCUGGUCUGAGAGGACGACCAGCCACACUGGGACUGAGACACGGCCCAGACUCCUACGGGAGGCAGCAGUGGGGAAUUUUUCGCAAUGGGGGCAACCCUGACGAAGCAAUGCCGCGUGGAUGAAGAAGGCCUUCGGGUUGUAAAGUCCUUUCGUGGGGGACGAAAAGGCGGGUCCUAAUACGAUCUGCUGUUGACGUGAACCCAAGAAGAAGCACCGGCUAACUCCGUGCCAGCAGCCGCGGUAAUACGGGGGGUGCAAGCGUUAAUCGGAAUCACUGGGCGUAAAGGGUGCGUAGGCGGUACGUUAGGUCUGUCGUGAAAUCCCCGGGCUCAACCUGGGAAUGGCGGUAGAAACCGGCGCACUAGAGUAUGGGAGAGGGUGGUGGAAUUCCAGGUGUAGCGGUGAAAUGCGUAGAGAUCUGGAGGAACAUCAGUGGCGAAGGCGGCCACCUGGCCCCAAUACUGACGCUGAGGCACGAAAGUGGGGGAGCAAACAGGAUUAGAUACCCUGGUAGUCCACGCCCUAAACGAUGAAAUACUAGAUGUUUGGUACCUAGCGUACUGAGUGUCGUAGCUAACGCGAUAAGUAUUCCGCCUGGGAAGUACGGCCGCAAGGUUAAAACUCAAAGGAAUUGACGG
rnacentral:rRNA from 1 species